AUGUCCACACAUAAAGGUCUAAGAGAUGAGAUGGCAAGGCCUGGAAAUUACAUUGACAACAAACAGUCAAAUUUACAUUUCCAACCAGAGGGUGGCAGACCUGUGACUGACUAUCAACCCCAAACUGCCAGCUGUGUGAACUGUCACAGAACCUAUGAGUACAGACAGCCAGGGGAUAAAGCCAGGGAUGUUUCAUAUGGACUCCAUGCAAGAGAAUCUGCUGGAUAUGAGGGAUUCCCCAACCACAACCAACUGACAAGGCAACAUAUGGGAAAGAACAUGAACUACAACCAGCCUAAUGUGGACAUCUAUGCAAAGCAUGCAAGUGAGCAGAGGAGUGUGACCUUUGACUUGGAAAGACCUCGAGUGCAUGUCGUCGAUGUACAAAAGAUGAACCGUGAUAGUGAAGGCAAACAUGACAGGAUUCAAAGUUCUAGGAAGGCGGAAUAUGGUGACACGCAGACACUGCGCUAUGAAGGCAGUGGACGAUCUGCGAGGAGUAAUGCUCUUGAAAGAGAAGACAACUCUAAAAGGCAUAAACAUAAAGUCCAGUCAAGUGGUUUACUAAAAGUAAAGCUCAACCUUAACCCACUUAAGAAAAGCAAGGUCCAUCCAAGGAAAAACAGCCACCAGAAUCUAGAACAGGGCGACAGAGAACCAACCAACUCCAAGAACCGAAAACAACUGAAAACGGGGGGGAAAGAUGUCAAAGGCAAAAGGCACCAACAGGAUGAGUCUGAGUCUAAAGGAAAAACAGACAAAUCCAGUAAAGGAAACUCGACUGCCAAAAACAAAGCCAAUCAGACAUCCAAAAAUAAAUCUACCGUUAGCAAGUCUAAAGAAAUUGAUGAUAAUUAUGAAGAUAAUGAGUCCGAAGAGGAGGAAGAGAAAGAAGAUCCAGUGCCACAGCAAAACAAGGCAUCCUCCAAGCAAAAAAAGACAACCUCAAAAUCAAAACAGGAACACCAGGAAGGCUCAAAUGACCAUCCCAAGAGUAGAACUGCUCAAGAUCAGAAGAAGGCCGACAUCUCACAAAAUAGAACUGGAGGAGUAACUGAGGAAUCUGGUGAAGCACCUAUACCAAGCAAUUUGAGUCCUUACCAGUCAGACCCCAACAGAGCUGGUGGUAGUUCAGCCAAUGGGCAGCAGGUGAAGCAAUACAAAAAUGGACAGGGCCAAGCACUCAUCCCUGAGACACCCCAACACCCCCGUUGCCUAGGCGAUGGAGUGGUUCUUCAGAGGGCAUUGAGUAACCCACAACUGUCAGCAACACACCCCCUCACAGGAGUGGAAAUGACUUCCAGUUACAGUAACCUUCCUGUGCAGGGAGGGAACUCUACACUAUUACAAAACACUGUUGCUCCAAACCCUGCUUACGGUGGUAAAUUACAGCCUCAAAGCUUGAGCAGACCAGGCAGUUUAGACAAUUUACAGGCUCAAAGCCUGAGCAAACAAGGUCGUUUAAGUCCUCCACCUUUACUGACUAACAUCCCACACACAUUCCCACUAUACACAGGCAAUGUAGGGAGCUUGCCUGUAAAUCCAUUUAUCCCGCUGUUGUCACAGCCAGUUUCAGGAAACUUUAACCAGGAGGCCAUGAUCGGCUCUCAGCCAACCCAGUUUCCAGCACUCCAAAGCGUGGAAGAUCUCACUCUGCUUGCCCAGGGUCCUGGAUCACUAAUUGAAAAGAAUAUCUCUCCAAUUGCCCAGGGUUCUGGCUCACUAAAUGGGGAGAGUCUCUCCAACAACAGUAUGAACGCAGCGACCGCCCGUUCCACAGGAGUACCUGUCCUCAGCAAAAGGCUCACCCAGAAGGAUUAG
ensembl:lncRNA